rnacentral:lncRNA from 1 species
CUAAAAUGACGAAUUAAAAAUAUAUGUAGCAGCAUUUAAAUCCAUAAAAACGGAAUACAUUCAAAUCAUAAAUCUGUUCUUGCCGAGUAUGUAUAGGCAACACAUCUAAUGUAUUCCUUUCUUAUGAUUUCGUCUCUAUUUCUUCUAUAUUUGGCAAAAUUGUCGAUAACGAAGGUCUCUUUUAUUUGUCUGGCAUACGUACUUGUGGGGACAUUUCUAGAGUUUGCAUUUUCUCACAAGGAAGCUAUUAAACCAAGAGUUCCAAAUGGUGAAGUUGAAAUAAUCCCUUCUUUAAUUUAUGGACGCCAUCACGAAUUGGUUGACCGUUAUGGAAUGUGUACUUGUACGUUGUCUAAGAAUGUAUGACAUUUGCCAUCAGAAGGAGCGUCAGACAAUGUCAAACGUGAAGCAGUCAUCGAUUUCAUUUAGGGAAAGGAACCGUAACCCGAAACAUUGGGAUAGCCAUUUACCAAUUGCAAUGUCACUUGAUUUGUCUGUAUACUCUGUGCUCAGCCAAUGUAAAAGUAUGAACUUACCUGUAACUUACCUGUAAAUCUAAUUAAGAAAAAAUAUAAAAUCGGCGCAAAUGAAAAAAUGAAAUCGGCGCAAAUGAAAGAAUGUAAAUUUUCAAAAUCGGCGCAAAUGUCAUACGCCC